AUCAACUGUAGUAAUCUGUUAUUCGGUAACACUUUACAAUAAGGGUAAAGAGGUUAACCAUGAGUGAUGUGAACUAAGGGCUUAUUUACAGUUAAUUUAUGGUCUAGUAAUCAUUCAAUAUAAUACAACAAAUAUAUUAAUUUGUGUGCUAUUAGAAAAAGUAUAAAUCAAAAACUGACUUAGUUAACAAGUAAUGACUACUACACCAUUAUUCGUUAAGAAGUUAAUUAUCUUCUUGUUAUUGUUAGAUAAUGCUUAUAAUCGCAUUAACUAAUUUAGAUUGAUAGUUCAUUAUUGUACCCUUAUUGUAAAUGGUUACCUUUUAAUCAAUUUGAUCCGUUUUAAGUGUAAUACAAUAAACCUGAUGAGUGGAUGCAUUCAACCACCACAUAUUUAUUUUCACAGAUCAUCACAAACAUCAUCAAGUAAAUGACAUAAGAAAAAUAACAUCAGUCUGGGCUGACCAUAUGCGGCCUGUGAUCUGUCCAAUGAUCCGGCAAAAUGACAAAAAAUCUGCCGCCGUCAUUAACAUGACCUAGGCCUACUGAGACAUAAUACUCAGGUCAGUAGGAGAGAAAUUGAGGUGACAAACUGGGGCGAUUACGCUGUCCCAGCCUGGACCUCCACGGGACCCGCUAGUACCACCAGCUCUGGCACCGCUUCCACCGCUACCACGGCAGCCUCCACCGCUGCAGCCUCGACCACUUGAGCCUCGACCGCGGCAGCCUCCGCGGCGGGAACCUCCACCGCUGCAGCCUCCACCGCGGGAGCCUCCACCGCUGGAGCCUCCACCGCGGCCGCCUCCACCACGGGAGUGGCGUCGGCUGGGACUACCUCCGCAGCAGGGGCCUCCACUACGGCCGGGUCGACAGCGGCAGCUUCGGCAGCAGGUUCUGCCUCGGCCGCGGGUUCUGCCUCGGCCGCGGGUUCUGCCUCGGCCGCGGGUUCCUCUUCGGCCGCCUCUGCCGCUUCCUCCUCCUCGGCUCCGUCCUCGCCAGCCUCCUCCGAGUUCAGCGGGGCGGCGGCGGCUGCUUUGGGGGCUGCGGCGGCUUUUUCCUGGAAACAAGAGGGAGGUUAACUUAAAGCUGCUGUAGGUAAGAUAGAAAGGGUUUAAAAAAAGAGAGAGCGAGAGAGCGG
ensembl:lncRNA